rnacentral:rRNA from 1 species
AGUGGGGAAUAUUGCGCAAUGGGGGCAACCCUGACGCAGCAAUGCCGCGUGCGGGAUGACGGCCUUCGGGUUGUAAACCGCUUUCAGCAGGGAAGAUAUGACGGUACCUGCACAAGAAGCCCCGGCUAACUACGUGCC